ensembl:lncRNA
UACAGCCCAACAAGAAGGGCUGACAUGAUCCCAGCUCUGCUACUGCAGGCCUUUCACCCUGUGGAAAAAAUGUUCCCGUCGUGGCUGUCAGUCCCAUCUGUCAUCAGCAUCAGUCGAGUUUGCCCCCAGCACUUCCAGCCAGCAUUAUUCCUCUGAAUAUCCGUCCAAAUGGAAACAGCAGCAGUAUGAAGUGAAGGCUGUCAUGUAAGAGCAACAAAUAGAGAGCAGGAGUUUAACUAGGCCGAUGCAAGAACAGGCUGAAUAGAAGCAAGGAGCAGGUGAGGUCAGAGACACAGUUUACAUCCCAGCUCAAAGUUCAGCAGCGUAUCAGGAAGUUAGAAAGAAAAUGUUGGAUAAAGCAAAAUCAUAAACCAUAAACUUCAUCUACUGGACAACCAGGUUAACCUUGUAAAGUUUUGUGGUGUUUUUCAUUUCAAAAGUUUGUAUCCCAUUUUAAAUGUCACAGCAUGUAGCACUACUGUCAAUGUUGGGCAUAAAGUUUAUCACCUGGGAGCAUCAACCACCUGAGGGCCUCCUUUAAACCCGACUUCAGCUUCAUUAUCCCCCCAAGCACUCAGAAACUGACCAGCGCUGUUGAACUGGCUCGAUUAGUUCAUUGAUCAACUGAGAAACACGGAAGGAAAACAUUAACAAUUUGGUGAUUGAUUACUAAUUUAACUUGUUGUUUAACCAGAAAAUGUAAUGCGAUUCUAACAAGAAAAGUACUCAGCGAGUACAGAACUCCUCCAAGGCUGCUCAGCUGCUGUAUCAUUUCCGACGGUUGAAAUCUUGAAAGAAUUUGUGGCAGAAAUCAUGGCGCCAUAGAAUGUGUCCAUUUAAUAUAGAUGCAAACACAAACAAAAUGACCUUGCGCUGAGCACAGGUGUGUGUUAUGCAUGUGUACGUUACGUAUGGAUACUGAAUCAUGUGACCUAAAUAUGUAGCGGACGGCGGGAAAUGAUGGGACUCGGAAACGCCCCCACAAUUUAAUCAAUUGUUCCUUGUAUCAUUUUGGACUGAUAAGUCCCUAAGAACAAACAAGAAAAGCACUCAGAGAGUGCAGUACUACACCAAGGCUGCUCAGUUGUUGUAUGAUUUCCUGUGGAUGAAAUCUUUAAAAAAUCUGUGGUCCACAAUGGUGGAUUUGUAGUAAGAUUGCAAUCAUGUGAUCAUCAGCAGGCAGUAGUGACGCAGUGCUGUUAUCUCACAAUGAUGCAGAAAUCUUUAACAAAUCCGUGGAUCCAGACUAUAAGCUGCAUCACUGCCAAAAUCUAAUCACUUGGUCCUUGUGUCAUUUCUGACUUUCCCUGAAAAUUUCAUCCAAAUCCGUUUGUCUGUUUUUGAGCAAUGUUACUAACAGACAGACAAACGGACAAACCAAUGCCAAUCGUCACAUAACUCUGCCGGUCGUUGGCAGAGUAAAUAUUAGUUUUCUAUGAUGGAGCAUCUUUGGGUUGUUGAUUGUUGGUCCAGCACAGUCUCAUACCAAAAUGUGUAAUAUCUACAUUAAUUUCAUAGCAAAGGCUGUAAAAUUGUGAGAUACCGGACUUGAUUUCUGUCACUUUACACAUAAAAAGACCAAAAAUGUCCAUGUAAAAAGGCUGGAGGGGAGGUGGCAUGAACCCCAGAGCUUUCACUCAGGAUUCAGGGUUUUAGUCUCCUGUGGGAUGUUUGUUUUAAGGCAUUUUCAGGUGGGGUUCACUUUUAUUUUUAACUGUCAUCUCUUGUUUUCACCCACUUUUUGUUAUUGUUUACGCUGCAGAACUUCUUAGCUAGAUUCAGAAAAAGAUCACAGUUUGGUUUAAAAUACACCCAUGCA